rfam:Peptoniphilus harei ACS-146-V-Sch2b contig00027, whole genome shotgun sequence.
UCAAAUGUUUUGAAGUGGAAAAGUAAGUGAAGAAUGUUUUUACAGAGAAUUGCCAUUAGCUGAGAGGCAAGAAAUUGAAUUUACCGAAAAAUCCCCACUGAGCUAAAAUGCUGAAAUAAGUAAGUAUUUUCGGGAUCUCCCGUUACAGAGAAAUUCAUUAUUGGAUAAGUGCAUCAUUAAGAUGAAUUAGAGUGGUACCGCGAGUUUAUUAACCUCGUCUCUUUG